rnacentral:misc_RNA from 1 species
AAGGAGCAUCUAGCUGCCGCAAGCAGCCAGGGCCACAACGUCGGCGAACGUCCGACGGUGGUUGCUCAUGGGUGGAACGUUGAUUAUUCGGCACUUUCAGUCAUCUCGGGCUGCCAGUACUGCUCUUCGGAGCGUGGAACGCUGAUCAUGAGUGGCGAGGGUGUCGGGCACGCUGUUGGGUGUCUGAGGGUAUGGCCGUAUGGCUGCCUUCAGUGCCGGCCCCAGUGAACUCCGGUGGUUAUCCGGGGGUGAUGGGUGGUUGGUCGUUG